GACGAACGCUGGCGGCGUGCUUAACACAUGAAAGUCGAACGGAAAGGCCCUGGUUUUUUGGGGUGCUCGUGGGGCGAACGGGUGAGUAACACGUGAGUAAGCUGCCUUUGAUUUUGGGAUAACUUCAGGAAACUGGGGCAAAUUACGGAUAGGAGCUCCUGAUGCAUGGUGGGGGUUGGAAUGUUUCGGUGGCUUGGGAUGGGCACGCGGCUUAUCAGCCUGUUGGUGGGGUAGUGGCUGACCAAGGGAUUGACGGGUAGGCCGCGUGAGAGGUUGACCAGACACAAUGGGACUACGGUACGGCACAGUCGCCUACAGUAGGCAGCGGUGGGGAAUAUUACACAAUGAGCGGAAGCCUGUUGCAGAGGCGUUGCGUGCGUAAAGACGGCCUGCGGGUUGAGAACCGCAUUAGGCUGAGACGAAGCGGGAGUGACGGUAAUGGAUAAAGAAGCACCGGCUAACUACGUG
rnacentral:rRNA from 1 species